UACGUAGGGGGCGAGCGUUGUCCGGAAUUAUUGGGCGUAAAGAGCGUGUAGGCGGUUCGGUAAGUCUGCCGUGAAAACCUGGGGCUCAACCCCGGGCGUGCGGUGGAUACUGCCGGGCUAGAGGGUGGUAGAGGCGAGUGGAAUUCCCGGUGUAGCGGUGAAAUGCGCAGAUAUCAGGAGGAACACCGGUGGCGAAGGCGGGACUCUGGGCCGAUACUGACGCUGAGGGCGAAAGCGAGGGAGCA
rnacentral:rRNA from 1 species